rnacentral:rRNA from 1 species
GUGUACGGCCACGCCACCCUGCGCAAGCCGGAUCCCGUCUGACCUUGGAAGCUAAGCAGGGUCGGGCCUGGUUAGUAUUUGGAUGGGAGACCACCUAGGAAGACCAGGUGCUGUAGGCG